rnacentral:lncRNA from 10 species
GAUAAUCCACUUUAAAGCAAGAAAACAAGAUAAUUCAAGGGAAAAAUGUAUGACUCUAAAUUUGGAAACCAGACAGGAUCUGCUAAUACGGGGCAGAAUGUUAAAAAGAGGAUGAAUUUUGAUUUCAGAAAAUUUAGAAGAAAAUGGAUUUCUCAGGCAACUGAAAGAACAUAUUUGGAUCUGUUAAGAUGAAAGGAGACUUCAAGAGAACUGGACUUUGUGUUGGACAGGCUGUCUGUGACAGGGAAAAAACCCCUUCUGAAUGAUUAGGGAUGAAUCAGUUAACUUGCUUGAGUUUCACAUUCUUCAUCUGUAAAAUCUGGUGAUUAGACUGGCCCAGCAAAAGAUAUAAUGGGCAAAAGAUAUAAUACACAUAAAUUGGAAUGAAUCUGCAUUUUCCAAGCCUGAUGACUUUAUUAAAACUGAAUUAAGUCACUAACUGGCAGCCUGAAGAUGAAAGGAAAGAACUCAGUCAUGCUUCUUAAGGUAAAAGGGCAGUCUAACUGAGAAUUUUGUUAUCUCUGAGGACAAAUUACAAGGAGAUAAAGACACUCAAGAUCACAUGGAAGGCUUCUGCUCCCACUUAGAGACUGCAAUGUAAGGUAUGGAAACAGAAUAUUCUCUAUAGAAACAUACAUAUUAAAAUAUGAACAUUUUUGUUCUUAUUUCAAUCCAAAAAUAAAUAAAUGAAU